rnacentral:rRNA from 1 species
AGAGUUUGAUCCUGGCUCAGGACGAACGCUGGCGGCAUGCCUAACACAUGCAAGUCGAACGGAGACAGCAAUGUCUUAGUGGCGAACGGGUGAGUAACGCGUGAGCAACCUGCCUCGUACAACGGGAUACCUGCGAGAAAUCGCAGUUAAUACGGUAUAAGACCACGCCGUCGCAUGACGGAGGGGUAAAAGGGAGCAAUUCCGCGG